UNAUAUGCUUNUNUCAAAGAAUAAGCCAUGCAUGUCUCAGUACAAGCCGUCCAGUACGGUGAAACCGCGAAAGGCUCAUUAAAUCAGUUAUGGUUCCUUAGAUCGUACCCACGUUACUUGGAUAACUGUGGUAAUUCUAGAGCUAAUACAUGCCGACAGAGUUCCGACCAACUGUACGGAUAGGCGGCGGUUCGCCGUCGUCGCCGUACGGUUCGGAAGGAACGCUUUUAUUAGAUCAAAACCGGCUAAACGGCGGUUACGCUUCGCGCGUCUCCGUCGUAAGCGGCCCGCGCAAAGAUUUGGUGACUCUGAAUAACUUCGAGCUGAUCGCACGGUCCUCGUACCGGCGACGUAUCUUUCAAAUGUCUGCCUUAUCAACUGUCGACGGUAGGUUCGACGCCUACCGUGGUGGUAACGGGUAACGGGGAAUCAGGGUUCGAUUCCGGAGAGGGAGCCUGAGAAACGGCUACCACAUCCAAGGAAGGCAGCAGGCGCGCAAAUUACCCACUCCCAGCUCGGGGAGGUAGUGACGAAAAAUAACGAUACGGGACUCAUUCGAGGCCCCGUAAUCGGAAUGAGUACACUUAAAACCUUGGUCHCNCGAGGAUCAAUGGAGGGCAAGSRGANSMCYHNCCCUSANUSUCAUAUGCUUGUCUCAAAGAUUAAGCCAUGCAUGUCUCAGUGCAAGCCGUCUAGUACGGUGAAACCGCGAAAGGCUCAUUAAAUCAGUUAUGGUUCCUUAGAUUGUACCCACGUUACUUGGAUAACUGUGGUAAUUCUAGAGCUAAUACAUGCCGACAGAGUUCCAACCAAUUGCACGACCUCGGUCGUCGCAUUUAGGAAGGAACGCUUUUAUUAGAUCAAAACCGGCUAAGCGACGGUUACCUCGUGUUUCCGUCGUUAGUGGCCUGCGCAAAGAUUUGGUGACUCUGAAUAACUUCGAGCUGAUCGCACGGUCUCGUACCGGCGACGUAUCUUUCAAAUGUCUGCCUUAUCAACUGUCGACGGUAGGUUCGACGCCUACCGUGGUGGUAACGGGUAACGGGGAAUCAGGGUUCGAUUCCGGAGAGGGAGCCUGAGAAACGGCUACCACAUCCAAGGAAGGCAGCAGGCGCGCAAAUUACCCACUCCCAGCUCGGGGAGGUAGUGACGAAAAAUAACGAUACGGGACUCAUUCGAGGCCCCGUAAUCGGAAUGAGUACACUUUAAAACCUUGGUCACACGAGGAUCAAUUGGAGGGCAAG
rnacentral:rRNA from 1 species